rnacentral:rRNA from 1 species
GAUGAACGCUGGCGGCGUGCCUAAUACAUGCCAGUCGAGCGAACGGACGAGAAGCUUGCUUCUCUGAUGUUAGCGGCGGACGGGUGAGUAACACGUGGAUAACCUACCUAUAAGACUGGGAUAACUUCGGGAAACCGGAGCUAAUACCGGAUAAUAUUUUGAACCGCAUGGUUCAAAAGUGAAAGACGGUCUUGCUGUCACUUAUAGAUGGAUCCGCGCUGCAUUAGCUAGUUGGUAAGGUAACGGCUUACCAAGACAACGAUGCAUAGCCGACCUGAGAGGGUGAGCGGCCACACUGGAACUGAGACACGGUCCAGACUCCUACGGGAGGCAGCAGUAGGGAAUCUUCCGCAAUGGGCGAAAGCCUGACGGAGCAACGCCGCGUGAGUGAUGAAGGUCUUCGGAUCGUAAAACUCUGUUAUUAGGGAAGAACAUAUGUGUAAGUAACUGUGCACAUCUUGACGGUACCUAAUCAGAAAGCCACGGCUAACUACGUG